rnacentral:other from 1 species
CUUUCAAUCCUUUUUGGGAUUCAUC